rnacentral:rRNA from 1 species
UACGUAGGGUCCGAGCGUUGUCCGGAGUUACUGGGCGUAAAGGGCGCGCAGGCGGCGGUGCUGGCCCGGCGUGAAAGCCCCCGGCUCAACCGGGGAGGGUCGUCGGGGACCGCACCGCUUGAGGGCGGUAGGGGCCGGUGGAAUGCCCUGGGUGUAGUGGUGAAAUGCGUAGAGAUCAGGCAGAACACCUGGGGCGAAGGCGGCCGGCUGGGCCGACCCUGACGCUGAGGCGCGAAGGCGUGGGGAGCGAACGGG